rnacentral:rRNA from 1 species
GAGUUUGAUCCUGGCUCAGAUUGAACGCUGGCGGCAGGCCUAACACAUGCAAGUCGAGCGGUAGAGAGAAGCUUGCUUCUCUUGAGAGCGUCGGACGGGUGAGUAAUGCCUAGGAAUCUGCCUGGUAGUGGGGGAUAACGCUCGGAAACGGACGCUAAUACCGCAUACGUCCUACGGGAGAAAGCAGGGGACCUUCGGGCCUUGCGCUAUCAGAUGAGCCUAGGUCGGAUUAGCUAGUUGGUGAGGUAAUGGCUCACCAAGGCGACGAUCCGUAACUGGUCUGAGAGGAUGAUCAGUCACACUGGAACUGAGACACGGUCCAGACUCCUACGGGAGGCAGCAGUGGGGAAUAUUGGACAAUGGGCGAAAGCCUGAUCCAGCCAUGCCGCGUGUGUGAAGAAGGUCUUCGGAUUGUAAAGCACUUUAAGUUGGGAGGAAGGGCAGUAAAUUAAUACUUUGCUGUUUUGACGUUACCGACAGAAUAAGCACCGGCUAACUCUGUGCCAGCCGCCG